CAGCCUGGAACUUUAAAAAAUGAAGAUUCUGGCCAUUUUUUGUGCUUUCGGCCGCCCAUUUUGGCUUGAAUUUCCGACCACAUCGGUUGGUGUAUUGCCGGAGCUUGGAUGGGUUGCGAAGAGGGAAGUGAGGGCUUCAAGGUUGUAUGUCGGUCCGGCGGCCAAGGUGGUUGGAAGGUGGAGUUUUGGUGGUCCAAAAAUGUUGACUCUAACACUUUCAACCAUUUUUGUGCUUAGUCAUCCCAUUUUGGCUUGAAUUUUCGACCAAAUCGGUUGGUGUUAUGGCCAG
rnacentral:lncRNA from 1 species